UAACGGCGAGUGAAGCGGCAAGAGCUCAAAUUUGAAAGCUGGCUCCUUCGGAGUCCGCAUUGUAAUUUGCAGAGGAUGCUUUGGGUGCGGCCCCCGUCUAAGUGCCCUGGAACGGGCCGUCAGAGAGGGUGAGAAUCCCGUCUUGGGCGGGGUGUCCGUGCCCGUGUAAAGCUCCUUCGACGAGUCGAGUUGUUUGGGAAUGCAGCUCUAAAUGGGUGGUAAAUUUCAUCUAAAGCUAAAUACUGGCCGGAGACCGAUAGCGCACAAGUAGAGUGAUCGAAAGAUGAAAAGCACUUUGAAAAGAGAGUUAAACAGCACGUGAAAUUGUUGAAAGGGAAGCGCUUGCGACCAGACUCGCCCGCGGGGUUCAGCCGGCAUUCGUGCCGGUGUACUUCCCCGUGGGCGGGCCAGCGUCGGUUUGGGCGGCCGGUCAAAGGCCCCUGGAAUGUAGUACCCUCCGGGGUACCUUAUAGCCAGGGGUGCAAUGCGGCCAGCCUGGACCGAGGAACGCGCUUCGGCACGGACGCUGGCAUAAUGGUCGUAAACGA
rnacentral:rRNA from 1 species